rnacentral:lncRNA from 1 species
UUUCUUUUUUUUGUUUUGUUUUUCAAUAAUUUUAUUUUUUCUAAUUUUGUAAUUUUAAUUUCCCAUAGCACCUUGGCAAUGUUGAAAACAAUGCAAAUACAAAGAUGCUCAUUUAACAGUUUAUGCAUGAGUAUGUGUCACACCAUUGUUACGGGAGGGGAGGGCAGGGGACAGUUUUGACAACAGAACAAAUCUAAGCUAUGGACAAACAGAAGCCAGAUAACUGGUUCUGACACGCCACUCCCCCAACAUUUAAGUUACGUCACUCAAUGGACACCUGAAUCAGUUGGAAAAACAGUAACAGAACAUUGGUGUGGGUAUCUCUUUACAUUUCUAGUCAGUGUUCUGUGCUAUAGAACUGAUAACAGAAUACUUUGGCUCGCAGACAUCAGAGCCGCACCUUUAGGACUGUGUAAUGUGUAAUAAGACACAACAAAUUGUUAGUUUUAAAAAUAAACAUUGUUAUUUAAUAAUCAGGUGACUUAAGAGAAUUCAAAAUGUCCUCAUUCAGCUAAUAAAAACUGAAAUGCCCAUGCAUAUUCUUGAAAGCCCAGACUAGCUACUUAGUAUAUGCCAAAGAGUAGUUAGAAUAAUAGCCACCAAAUUGUAAGGAAAUAUAAAAAAUUAGAAAAAAUCCAUCAUAUAUUAUAUUUAUAUAUAUUUACGUAUUAAAAAACCCUCAAAGGAAUAUACUGUUUGA